GGAGGAGCCUCUGGAGAGAUCCGUUAAAUCGGACGCCGAAGGAGCAAGCUUCCACCCUCUGCCUUGCAGGAGUGGUUAGUGAAACUCUCAGGCAAAAGGACAGAGGAGAUAAG
rnacentral:ncRNA from 2 species